rnacentral:lncRNA from 10 species
AUGUGUAAUUAUUUCUUGAGCACGCCCUUCCUCCUCCUCUCUCUGUCUCUCUGUCUGUCUCUCUCUCUCUCUGCCUAUUUCUCUCUCUGUGUCUGUCUUCUGUCUUACUCUCUUUCUCUUCCUGUCUGUCUGUCUGUCUCUCUCUCUCUGUCUGUCUGUCUGUCUCUCUCUCUCUCUCUCUGUUUCUCACUGUCUCUCUCUGUCCGUCUCUCUCUCCCCGUCUGUCUGUUUCUCUCUGUCUCUCUCUCUCUCUCCCCCUCUUUCUAUGCGUUUCUCUCUGUCUCUCUCUGUCUUUCUCUCUCUCUCUCUCUCUCUCUCUCUCUCUCUCUGCCUGUCUCUCUCCCUGUGUCUGUCUUCUGUCUUAAUCUAUUUCUCUGCCUGUGUGCCUGUCUGUCUGUCUGUCUCUCUGUCUGUCUCUCUCUCUCUCCCUUUUGGUCUGUUUCUCUCUGUCUCUGUCUCUGUCUCUGUCUCUGUCUCUCUCUCUGUCUCUGUGUGUGUGUGUGUGUGUGUGUGUGUGUGUAUCUUUGUAUCUCUGUCUGUCUCUCUCUGUCUCUGUCUCUCUCUCGCUCUCGCUCUCGCUAUCUCCCACCCUCUCUUUCUUUGCCGAAAGAGCUCAAGUACAUCUAAUGUAAUCCAGUACCAAGGCCUGAAUUCUUAACUUUAGACACCCCAGAUUUGAUCUUCCCACAGAAUGCUGUACAGAAGUGGCGAGUUGAUUUCUGCACUUGGAUACCUCAUAGAUACUACAUAAUAAGAAAGAUACCACCCUAAAAUCUGGGGUUGCUUCUCCCUCGACUGUCUCAAAAAAAUCGUACCUCUGUUCACCUAGGAUGCUGGGAGGGUUUUCUCGAUGUGCCUCUGCCCGUGUCCUAAAUGACCUGGGACCAAGCCCUGUCCGUUCUGUCUCAAAUCUCUAUCUGCAAGCACUUCUCAAAUCUGUAUCUGCAAGCACUUCAAAGAACCACUGGCUCUUUGAAAAUAUCCCAGAAGUGGCUUCGGCUUCUUGGCUAGGAGGCCUAAGCCUGCUGAGAACUUUCCUGCCCAGGAUCCUGUGUGAACAAAAGUGCCUCUGCUGAGAGCUGGGAUCCUCGGGACCACGCUUGCUAGCGCUGGAUGAGUCUCCGGAAGGAUGCACGGGACUCCGCAAAGCUGACCUCUCCCAACGAGGUCAAAGGGAUCCCUGUGCAUUGGCCCGAGGACUCCAAUGUACAUCACCGUCACCAUCACCGUCAGCAUCCUUGCGAGCCUGCCCGAGGCCCCAACUCCCGGGAGACACUUGGGAGCCCGGCCUUCCUCGGCUAAAGUCCAAAGGGACAGCGACUUCCAUCCACAAGGUCUCCACUGAACUGCGAAGAUGUGGAGCGUAGGGCAGAGAGGGGACCUGGAGGGGGAGACGUCCUGACAGGCGAUGAGUUCCCUAGGCUCUGGCCACCCCAACCACGACCCACGUCCCGGGCACCCGUGGGACACCAUCGCUUUUUCCCCUCCUCUGUCCACAGCCGCCCCCACCCCACCCCACCCCAUCCCCCACCCCACGCACACACGCUGGAGGUUACAAAACCACACGGCGUGAAUAGAGCCUGACAGAAUGAGAGAGACCAUUUCACGAGUCGGGGGGUGGGGGGUUCUGCAGAGAGCCCGAUUCUCCCUCGUGGGUGGCUACAGGCUAGAAAUGACUAUCGCUUCCUGGACGGAGGGGCUUCCUUAGGCAGUCACCUUUGCGGGAGUAUCUCUCAAACCCUCCCUUGGGGCCACAAAAUAGAUUCCACCCCACCCCUCGACGUUUCCCUGUUUCCCCGGGUGCUGGAUGUAUCCUGUCGAGAGACCCGUGGGUGACACGUUGAGUUAAACACCUUGAUUGGCUUUGUGUGUUUGUCUGUUUCUGAGAUGCGGUCUCGCUCUGUCCCCCAGGCUGGAAUGCAGUGGUGUGAUCUCAGCUCACUGCAACCUCUGCCUCCCGGGUUCCAGCGAUUCUCCUGCCUUCAAGCGGCACCAUGCCCGGCUCCUCUUUUAAUUUUUAGUAGACACGGGGUUUCGCCCUGUUUCACUGGCUUUCACUGCGGAGUCUAGAUAAGAGCCACACCUCGUUCUGUGCCACAGAAUGACUUCUUUAUCAUACUGACUCUGGAAAGCCCA